GUGGGCCGCUUUCCGGAUUAUUGGGCGUAAGAGCUCGUAGGCGGUUUGUCGCGUCUGCCGUGAAAGUCCGGGGCUCAACUCCGGAUCUGCGGUGGGUACGGGCAGACUAGAGUGAUGUAGGGGAGACUGGAAUUCCUGGUGUAGCGGUGAAAUGCGCAGAUAUCAGGAGGAACACCGAUGGCGAAGGCAGGUCUCUGGGCAUUAACUGACGCUGAGGAGCGAAAGCAUGGGGAGCGAACAGGAUUAGAUACCCUGGUAGUCCAUGCCGUAAACGUUGGGCACUAGGUGUGGGGGACAUUCCACGUUUUCCGCGCCGUAGCUAACGCAUUAAGUGCCCCGCCUGGGGAGUACGGCCGCAAGGCUAAAACUCAAAGGAAUUGACGGGGGCCCGCACAAGCAGCGGAGCGUGUGGUUCAAUUCGAUGCGACACGAAGAACCUUACCAGGGCUUGACAUGUACGUGGUAGGGAAGGGAAACCGGACCGACCCGCAAGGGAGCGUGCACAGGUGUUGCAUGGCUGUCGUCGGCUCGUGCCGUGAGGUGUUGGGUUAAGUCCCGCAACGAGCGCAACCCCUUUUGCUAGUUACAAGUGUCUAGCGAGACUGCCAGGUUAACCCUGGAGGAAGGCGGGGAUGACGUCAAGUCAGCAUGACCUUUAUGUCCUGGGCUACACACACGCUACAAUGGCCGUUACAAUGCGUUGCCAAGCCGCGAGGCGGAGCUAAUCGCACAAAAGCGGCCUCAGUUCAGAUUGCAGGCUGCAACCCGCCUGCAUGAAGUCGGAGUUGCUAGUAAACGCGCGUCAGCUAUAGUGCGUUGAAUGCGUUCCCGGGCCUUGUACACACCGCCCGUCACGUCAUGGGAGUUGGUAACACCUGAAGUCGGUGACCGAACCGCAAGGACGGAGCCGCCGAAAGGUGGGACUGAUAACUGGGACGAAGUCGUAACAAGGUAACC
rnacentral:rRNA from 1 species